UACCAUGUAAUCCUACUAGGACUCCUCCUUAUAACCAACUAGUAAUCCCACCCCAUGGAGUAUAUAAAGGAGGGUAGGAGUCCCUAUAUCGGUAGGCAAAGACCUCUUAGAACCACAACAGAGGAUCAAAUCCUCAACACCAAACAACACCCAAGCGUAGGGCGCAAUAUACAACACCCCAAAUAUGACAUAGGGUAUUACGCUACUCUGGCGUCCCGAACCUGUAUAAAUUUGUGUCUUGUGUCCUCACUUUUACCUUCAAGUUCUAGGUCCGACGAUCCCCC
rnacentral:lncRNA from 1 species